CGGAAAGGCCCUUCGGGGUACUCGAGCGGCGAACGGGUGAGUAACACGUGAGCAACCUGCCCCAGGCUCUGGGAUAACCCUCGGAAACGGGGGCUAAUACCGGAUAGGACCUUUCACCGCAUGGUGGGGGGUGGAAAGUUUUUUCGGCCUGGGAUGGGCUCGCGGCCUAUCAGCUUGUUGGUGGGGUGACGGCCUACCAAGGCGACGACGGGUAGCCGGCCUGAGAGGGCGACCGGCCACACUGGGACUGAGACACGGCCCAGACUCCUACGGGAGGCAGCAGUGGGGAAUCUUGCGCAAUGGGCGGAAGCCUGACGCAGCGACGCCGCGUGGGGGAUGAAGGCCUUCGGGUUGUAAACCUCUUUCAGCAGGGACGAAGGUGACGUGUACCUGCAGAAGAAGCGCCGGCUAACUACGUGCCAGCAGCCGCGGUAAUACGUAGGGCGCGAGCGUUGUCCGGAAUUAUUGGGCGUAAAGAGCUCGUAGGCGGCUGGUCGCGU
rnacentral:rRNA from 1 species